rnacentral:rRNA from 1 species
CAGCAGCCACGGUAAUACGGAGGGUGCAAGCGUUAUCCGGAUUUAUUGGGUUUAAAGGGUCCGUAGGCGGACUUAUAAGUCAGUGGUGAAAGCCUGUCGCUUAACGAUAGAACUGCCAUUGAUACUGUAAGUCUUGAGUAUAUUUGAGGUAGCUGGAAUAAGUAGUGUAGCGGUGAAAUGCAUAGAUAUUACUUAGAACACCAAUUGCGAAGGCAGGUUACCAAGAUAUAACUGACGCUGAGGGACGAAAGCGUGGGUAGCGAACAGGAUUAGAUACCCCUGUAGUCCCUGUCUCUUAUAC